rnacentral:tRNA from 1 species
GCCGGGAUAGCUCAGCUGGUAGAGCAUUUCCAUGGUAAGGAAAAGGUCGCGGGUUCAAGUCCCGCUCUCGGCU